rnacentral:rRNA from 2 species
CUAUACAUGCAGUCGAGCGAACUGAUUAGAAGCUUGCUUCUAUGACGUUAGCGGCGGACGGGUGAGUAACACGUGGGCAACCUGCCUGUAAGACUGGGAUAACUUCGGGAAACCGAAGCUAAUACCGGAUAGGAUCUUCUCCUUCAUGGGAGAUGAUUGAAAGAUGGUUUCGGCUAUCACUUACAGAUGGGCCCGCGGUGCAUUAGCUAGUUGGUGAGGUAACGGCUCACCAAGGCAACGAUGCAUAGCCGACCUGAGAGGGUGAUCGGCCACACUGGGACUGAGACACGGCCCAGACUCCUACGGGAGGCAGCAGUAGGGAAUCUUCCGCAAUGGACGAAAGUCUGACGGAGCAACGCCGCGUGAGUGAAGAAGGCUUUCGGGUCGUAAAACUCUGUUGUUAGGGAAGAACAAGUACAAGAGUAACUGCUUGUACCUUGACGGUACCUAACCAGAAAGCCACGGCUAACUACGUGCCAGCAGCCGCGGUAAUACGUAGGUGGCAAGCGUUA